GCGGGGAUAGCUCAGUUGGGAGAGCGUCAGACUGAAGUCCAACUUCAUUCAUGACAUCUGAAGGUCGUGCGUUCGAUCCGCACUCACCGCA